CUCAAAUUCACAAUAACGCUGAAGAUUGUUGGCAGCGUCUGGACAGGUGAGCGUCUCAUAAUCAUCUUUUGCAUAAUGGCAACGAAAAUGCAAAAACAAUACAUGUCUUUUGAAGAGGUGACACCAACAGCGAAACAUAUUAGUUUUGUGUGCAGGUCUAUGCAAGGUAUAGGAGUAGAAAAGGUGCCAGGAAUCGGUACAGUGACAAAAACCAGUCUUGCUCGGAAAGGAAUUACUAAUGCACAACAGCUUUUCGGCCAAUGUUUAGUACGUGAUUUGGACAGAAAAAAAUGCAAAACAUAUUUUCAGUCAUUUGGAAUGAACGAUGGAUUACAGACUGAUGCAUUCAAUGCAUUCAAAGAAUGGGCUGACCAACAUCUAUGAAGACAUUUCACGAACUAUUUGACUUAAAUAAUCUACAUAUUUGAAUGUUCCACGAACCGUUUAAAUUUCUACAUUUUUUACUAUAAAUUGUUAUAUUUAACAUCAGGAAUUCGAGAAUGUUUGAAAUUAUGUAUCUCCCAAACCAGGAACCAAUUUAAUGCAUGGUAGCCUUCUCAGUGUUAUAUUAAUUUUUUUUACAAAAAUCGCAUUUUAAGACCUGUGGUUAAAAUGUUCGGGAUUUCCCUUUUUCCAAUGGGUGUGAACAACAGGAAAGGUGCGAAAAGAAAUGUAAGCGCAAAAAUGAAAUUUAUAGUACAAUCCUUGAAAUGUGUAAAUUGACCAAAUUGAACGUGUAUGGUGUAUGGGGAACAGUGUAUGGUGCAUGAGAAAUGCUGUAUGGUUUUUAUAUUUUUCUAUUUUAGAAAAAAAAACGUAGUUAAAUUUGUUAAGUCCUCCGAAACACGUUACAUUGCGGGUAAUUAUGAAUAGUGCCACUCUUCUUUGAUUUAAAUGUGAAAUUGGCAAGAGAAAUUUUGAGUGGUCAGUUGUAUUGGGAAUGGUCCAUGAUUGAAUGUACAGUGGUGUAUUGUGCAAGUGGAAAGUUUACACCUUUCAAUGACAGAACAAGAAUAUACAUUGAUACCUUAAAUGACAAGAUUUGUUUUUGUAAGUACCUUUUUGCUAUUACCCACUCCUAGAAGGGGAAAAGGCAAAGAAAGGAUAUUUUGAAAUUUAAUUUAAAAAUAACUAUAGAUAUAGGAAGAUGUGGUGUGAGUGCCAAUGAGACAACUCUCCAUCCAAAUAACAAUUUAAAAAUUAAACCAUUAUAGGUUAA